AUGAACGCUGGCGGUAUGCUUCACACAUGCAAGUCGAACGGUCACUUCGGUGAUAGUGGCGGACGGGUGAGUAACGCGUGAGAAUCUGUCUUCAGGUCGGGGACAACAGUUAGAAAUGACUGCUAAUACCGGAUGUGCCUUUGGGUGAAAGAUUUAUUGCCUGAAAAAGAGCUCGCGUCAGAUUAGCUAGUAGGUGGUGUAAGAGACUACCUAGGCUCCGAUCUGUAGCUGGUCUGAGAGGACGAUCAGCCACACUGGAACUGAGACACGGUCCAGACUCCUACGGGAGGCAGCAGUGGGGAAUUUUCCGCAAUGGGCGAAAGCCUGACGGAGCAAUACCGCGUGAGGGACGAAGGCUUUUGGGUCGUAAACCUCUUUUCUCAAGGAAGAUGAUGACGGUACUUGAGGAAUAAGCAUCGGCUAACUCUGUG
rnacentral:rRNA from 1 species